rnacentral:rRNA from 1 species
GAUGAACGCUGGUGGCGUGCCUAAUACAUGCAAGUCGAACGCACAGCGAAAGGUGCUUGCACCUUUCAAGUGAGUGGCGAACGGGUGAGUAACACGUGGACAACCUGCCUCAAGGCUGGGGAUAACAUUUGGAAACAGAUGCUAAUACCGAAUAAAACUCAGUGUCGCACGACACAAAGUUAAAAGGCGCUUUGGCGUCACCUAGAGAUGGAUCCGCGGUG